AGCUUUGCGCAGUGGCAGUAUCGUAGCCAAUGAGGUUUAUCCGAGGCGCGAUUAUUGCUAAUUGAAAACUUUUCCUAAAUUUUAGAAUCUGAACUUUUUUAACUACAACUCGGUGAUGUCUCCAAUUUUAACAUAUAAUAAAUAGUA